UACAGAGGUCUCAAGCGUUGUUCGGAUUCAUUGGGCGUAAAGGGUGCGUAGGCGGCGGGGUAAGUCGGGUGUGAAAUCUCAGGGCUCAACCCUGAAACUGCACUCGAUACUGCUCUGCUUGAGGACUGGAGAGGAGACUGGAAUUCACGGUGUAGCAGUGAAAUGCGUAGAUAUCGUGAGGAAGACCAGUGGCGAAGGCGGGUCUCUGGACAGUUCCUGACGCUGAGGCGCGAAGGCCAGGGGAGCAAACGGG
rnacentral:rRNA from 1 species